rnacentral:rRNA from 1 species
AGAGUUUGAUCCUGGCUCAGAACGAACGCUGGCGGCGCGCCUAAUACAUGCAAGUCGAGCGAGAAGGUGUAGCAAUACACUUGUAAAGCGGCGAACGGGUGAGGAAUACAUGGGUAAUCUACCAUCGAGUGGGGAAUAACCAACCGAAAGGUUGGCUAAUACCGCGUACGCCUCCGAGUCUUCGGGUUCGGAGGGAAAGCUGCACUGUGAGUGUAGCGCUCUUUGAUGAGCUCAUGUCCUAUCAGCUUGUUGGUAGGGUAACGGCCUACCAAGGCUUUGACGGGUAGCUGGUCUGAGAGGACGAUCAGCCACACUGGCACUGCGACACGGGCCAGACUCCUACGGGAGGCAGCAGUAAGGAAUAUUGCGCAAUGGGCGAAAGCCUGACGCAGCGACGCCGCGUGGGGGAUGAAGGUCUUCGGAUUGUAAACCCCUUUCGGGAGGGAAGAUGGAACGAGCAAUCGUUCGGACGGUACCUCCAGAAGCAGCCACGGCCAACUUCGUGCCAGCAGCCGCGGUAAUACGAAGGUGGCAAGCGUUGUUCGGAUUCACUGGGCGUACAGGGUGUGUAGGCGGUUUGGUAAGCCUUCUGUUAAAGCUUCGGGCCCAACCCGGAAAGCGCAGAGGGUACUGCCAGGCUAGAGGGUGGGAGAGGAGCGCGGAAUUCCCGGUGUAGCGGUGAAAUGCGUAGAGAUCGGGAGGAAGGCCGGUGGCGAAGGCGGCGCUCUGGAACAUACCUGACGCUGAGACACGAAAGCGUGGGGAGCAAACAGGAUUAGAUACCCUGGUAGUCCACGCCC